AUUGAACGCUGGCGGCAGGCCUAACACAUGCAAGUCGAACGGUAACAGGAAGCAGCUUGCUGCUUCGCUGACGAGUGGCGGACGGGUGAGUAAUGUCUGGGAAGCUGCCUGAUGGAGGGGGAUAACUACUGGAAACGGUAGCUAAUACCGCAUAAUGUCGCAAGACCAAAGAGGGGGACCUUCGGGCCUCUUGCCAUCGGAUGUGCCCAGAUGGGAUUAGCUUGUUGGUGGGGUAACGGCUCACCAAGGCGACGAUCCCUAGCUGGUCUGAGAGGAUGACCAGCCACACUGGGACUGAGACACGGUCCAGACUCCUACGGGAGGCAGCAGUGGGGAAUAUUGCACAAUGGGCGCAAGCCUGAUGCAGCCAUGCCGCGUGUGUGAAGAAGGCCUUCGGGUUGUAAAGUACUUUCAGCGGGGAGGAAGGGAGUAAAGUUAAUACCUUUGCUCAUUGACGUUACCCGCAGAAGAAGCACCGGCUAACUCCGUG
rnacentral:rRNA from 1 species